AGUGGCGGACGGGUGAGUAACGCGUGAGAAUCUGCCUUCAGGUUCGGGACAACCACUGGAAACGGUGGCUAAUACCGAAUGUGCAGCAAUGUGAAAUAUUUAUAGCCUGAAGAUGAGCUCGCGUCUGAUUAGCUAGUAGGUGUGGUAAUAGCGCACCUAGGCGACGAUCAGUAGCUGGUCUGAGAGGAUGAUCAGCCACACUGGGACUGAGACACGGCCCAGACUCCUACGGGAGGCAGCAGUGGGGAAUUUUCCGCAAUGGGCGAAAGCCUGACGGAGCAAUACCGCGUGAGGGAGGAAGGCUCUUGGGUUGUAAACCUCUUUUCUCAGGGAAGAAAAAAAUGACGGUACUUGAGGAAUAAGCAUCGGCUAACUCCGUGCCAGCAGCCGCGGUAAUACGGAGGAUGCAAGCGUUAUCCGGAAUGAUUGGGCGUAAAGCGUCCGCAGGUGGCGAUGUAAGUCUGCUGUUAAAGAGUCUGGCUCAACCAGAUAAAGGCAGUGGAAACUACAUGGCUAGAGUGCGUUCGGGGCAGAGGGAAUUCCUGGUGUAGCGGUGAAAUGCGUAGAGAUCAGGAAGAACACCGGUAGCGAAAGCGCUCUGCUAGGCCGCAACUGACACUGAGGGACGAAAGCUAGGGGAGCGAAUGGGAUUAGAUACCCCAGUAGUCCUAGCCGUAAACGAUGGAUACUAGGCGUGGCUUGUAUCGACCCGAGCCGUGCCGUAGCUAACGCGUUAAGUAUCCCGCCUGGGGAGUACGCAGGCAACUGUGAAACUCAAAGGAAUUGACGGGGGCCCGCACAAGCGGUGGAGUAUGUGGUUUAAUUCGAUGCAACGGGAAGAACCUUACCAAGGCUUGACAUGUCGCGAAUCUUGAUGAAA
rnacentral:rRNA from 1 species